CACGGGGGGAGCAAGCGUUGUUCGGAAUCACUGGGCGUAAAGGGCGCGUAGGCGGUCGUGACAAGUCACUUGUGAAAUCUCCGGGCUUAACUCGGAACGGUCAAGUGAUACUGUCGGACUAGAGUACAGAAGGGGCAACUGGAAUUCUCGGUGUAGCGGUGAAAUGCGUAGAUAUCGAGAGGAACACCUGCGGCGAAGGCGGGUUGCUGGGCUGAUACUGACGCUGAGGCGCGAAAGCCAGGGGAGCGAACGGG
rnacentral:rRNA from 1 species